UGGGGAAUAUUGCACAAUGGGCGCAAGCCUGAUGCAGCCAUGCCGCGUGUAUGAAGAAGGCCUUCGGGUUGUAAAGUACUUUCAGCGGGGAGGAAGGGAGUAAAGUUAAUACCUUUGCUCAUUGACGUUACCCGCAGAAGAAGCACCGGCUAACUCCGUGCCAGCAGCCGCGGUAAUACGGAGGGUGCAAGCGUUAAUCGGAAUUACUGGGCGUAAAGCGCACGCAGGCGGUUUGUUAAGUCAGAUGUGAACUCCCCGGGCUCAACCUGGGAACUGCAUCUGAUACUUGCAAGCUUGAGUCUCGUAGAGGGGGGUAGAAUUCCAGGUGUAGCGGUGAAAUGCGUAGAGAUCUGGAGGAAUACCGGUGGCGAAGGCGGCCCCCUGGACGAAGACUGACGCUCAGGUGCGAAAGCGUGGGGAGCAAACAGG
rnacentral:rRNA from 1 species